CAAAGCACUUUGAAGAGAGAGUUAAAGAGGACGUGAAACCGGUGAGGUGGAAACGGACAGAGCCGGCGUAUCUGGCCUGUAUUCAGCCGCGGGCUUGCUGCCGUCAUGUGCACUCGUCUCCAGACUGGAACGGUGCGCUGUCUGGCGGCAGGCUUGUGGUGCAUUUGCAGGUGGAGUGCGCUGAGGCGUUCGGCGCAGCGGUAUGAACUCGGCUCAGAGGCCAGCCCAGCAAUGGGUCUGGAACCCGGGCCGUGGGGAGUGCUGUUUGUGCUGGAUGUACGCUGUGGGCGAUGGUUUCGGGCUUGGGUGGGUGCCGAGCUGGAGGUCGGUGGCGGUCGCGUGCGACACGUGCCAGCACUCAGUUCGGUCCUGCUCGAGCUCACAAGCGCCUGUCCUCGGUGUAAAAGCCGGUCAUCUGUCCGACCCGUCUUGAAACACGGACCAAGGAGUUUAGCGUGUGCGCGAGUCAAUGGGCGUUCAAAACCCAGAGGCGCAAUGAAAGUGAAGGCAUCCCUUGUGGAGCUGAUGUGUGAUCCUGGCCACCACGGUGUGCCGGGCGCAACAUGGUCCCGUUCUGAUCGCUUGCGAUGGGGCGGAGACAGAGCGUACGCGCUGAGACCCGAAAGAUGGUGAACUAUUCCUGAGCAGGAUGAAGCCAGAGGAAACUCUGGUGGAAGUCCGAAGCGAUUCUGACGUGCAAAUCGAUCGUCUGACUUGGGUAUAUGGGCGAAAGACUAAUCGAACCAUCUAGUAUCUGG
rnacentral:rRNA from 1 species